rnacentral:tRNA from 1 species
GGAUGUGACUUAGUGAUAAAGUGCUUGCCUAGCAUGCACAAAGUCCUGGGUUCAAUCCCCAGCAACACA